rnacentral:tRNA from 1 species
AGAAACUUAGGUUACUAAACCCUGGGCCUUCAAAGCCCAAAACAGAAGUCAUUAUUCUUCUAGUUUCUG